rnacentral:rRNA from 1 species
AGCUCCAAUAGCGUAUAUUAAAGUUGCUGCAGUUAAAAAGCUCGUAGUUGGAUUUGUGGCGCGGCCGUCCGGCGGGGGUCCUUCUAUGGUCUCGUUUGUCCUGGUUUUCGGCCGCUCCUUUCUCGGGUAGAGCGUAAUGGCUGGCAUUAGGUUGUCGGCCGCUUCGCGCCCGUCGUUUACUGUGAAAAAAUUAGAGUGUUCAAAGCAAGCGAUUUGCCCUGAAUACAUUAGCAUGGAAUAAUAGAAUAGGACCUGGUCUUAUUUUGUUGGUUUGUAUAAUUUCAGGUAAUGAUUAACAGGGACGGUUGGGGGCAUUUGUAUUCCGAGGCGAGAGGUGAAAUUCUUAGACCCUCGGAAGACAAACAGCUGCGAAAGCGUUUGCCAAGGACGUUUUCAUUGA